UGGUGUUCAAAUCGGAGUUUCAAGAAACCGUGAUUUUCGGAUCUGUCAAGGAAAUUCCAGAAUUGUUGGAAUCCAUUCCGUCAAGAAAACUCGAACUCGGGAAGGCAUGCGUCAACCAUGUGAGUGAUGCCAUGGAUCGAUGCGGGAAUGCAUUCUGAAU